AUUCUCUGUGCCCUCUUUCAGGGAAUCAAUGUGAUUCUGCUGAUCCUCGCGAUUUUGGAAUUUGCCUUCUCCAUCGCAGUCUCAAGCUUUGGCUGUAAAGCAACUUGUUGUAGUCAGAGUGGGGUUACCAUCUUCAUGCCUUCUCCAUCCCAAGUACCAGUUACUGAGGCAUAAAGAGGAGAGAAACUACUUCAAAGGAGAGCUGCUGACACCACCGCAUUACCUGGAAGUCACCCUGACAGUCUCAUAUCACACAUGCUUCCCUGUUCCUCAGAGAAAGCUCCUUCCAUCAUUGGCUGUUUUUCAAUGAAACAAAGAGCAAAUUGUCUCAGGUUUCCUGAAAUUCUUUGUUAACAGUCGCUUUCAUUCUUAGUCAUGCACUGAUCACAUCUACUUCCCCAUUUUGCACCCAGGCCCCUGAAUAUCUCAGGCUUUGCUCACAAACUAUCAGCAAACAUAUCAGGAAAUCUUUUUCCUUUCGGUGCACAGGAAGACUAAUCUGCCCAAGACUCCCUAUGGAUGCUGGGAAAUAGGGUCAUUACAAGAGAAGAGGAGAGAAGGAAAAGAGAUGGGAAUGGGAGUACCAAACUACUUCUCUUCUGUUCUCCAUGAAUCAAGAUUCCCACCUAUGGAAUUUCCUGCUGCUCCUACAUGUGAAAUUGGAUGUUUCCACCUCCAGUGGCCUGGACUCCAUCAUCUUUGUUCUUUGCCCUCUCUGUUUGCUCCUGGAGCAUCCUGACCGUUGCUGUGAAUACCUCCUCUCAACAUUGCUUCCCUGCCACUGAGGCAUUUGUAGAGGAACUUAGGCUGAUCUCAAAGUUUCUUCUUCCUUUUCUGACCCCAGAGUUGCUCACACAAUCACAAAUUCCCUCAUAACUGAUCCCUUUCCUACCACCAACGUCACCUUUCAGAACUUCCUCCUUUGGACUUUUGGACUGGGACUGAGAAGAGCUGUGGCUGAAGAUCCUGCCUUUGCUGCUUCAUAUCUAUGUGCCCAUAGCCUAAGUUUUCUGAACCUCAGUUUCCUUUCCUGUAAAAUAGGAUUAGCCAUGUCUAUACUAGUGAUCUCACAGGAGGGUUAUGAGCAUUCUAUGGCAGAGCAUAUUCCAAGUACUUUGUCAACCUAGGAAUGCCGACUAAGUGUCAGUGUGGUGGUGACAUAUAGUUGUGUACUCAGAGUAAGGAAAACUGAUUGUACAUCUGCCCCAGGGCCCUUCCUAGCUGUGUGACCCUGCUCACCUCACUGAACUUCAUCUCAGUCUCAGUUUUCUCAUCUGUGAAAUGAAGCCAAUAAUAGCCCUGCCUCCCGGAGCUUUAUUUCUUCUUGGCAAGGAGGACGUAAUGUUUGAAAAGUGUUUUGCACACCUUAAAGAGUCAUAUAAAUGCUAACUAGCUAACCGUCAUGUCAGGCAUUUUUAUUUCUCGUUAUUAAUGUUUGUCUAAAUUUUCUUCUUAUCACAGUCUAGUUUUAGAUAUUCUGGACGUUGGCUUGUAUAAAGUUUUGGAGACAGUUGGAGGAAGUUAGGACCCAAAUACUGUGGGGUUUCCCUUGCUCUAGCUGGAAGCUGAAGUUCCAAUUCAAAUAUGACCUUAAGAAGGAUUUAGUAGCUAUUAUGUCAAUAGCAAUGACUGUGACUACAGUAACAAUAAUGUCUGGCAUUUACAUACUUUUUUGAGGCGAUUUGUCACUUUAUCCUCACAGGAACUCUGGGUUGUGAUGAGAAUCUGCUUCAGUGACUUGCCCAGAGUCACAUGGCUAGAAAGCAAGUGUCUGAGGCCUAGUUUAAGUCAGUUUUUCCUGAAUCCAGACCCAAUUCUCUAGGUAAAGCUUUUCUGACUCCUUUAGGGUUCAAAGGCUAUAAUGUGGCUUACUGAGAAGAGUCCUGGCCUUUGAGUUCUCAAGUUGUCUUCUUGGGAUGUAGAAGUGAACAAAGCUGCUGACCUUUAAGAGUUGUGAGAGAACAUGGACAAGUCAGUUGACAUAUCUAGGAUCCACUUUCCUUAUGUAGAAGGGGGGAAAUGGUUUAAAUGAACCUCAUUUCAUCCUAAGAUAUUGGAAAUAAGGUAUAUUCUGAUAUUUCCUCUGCAGUUAAUUAAAGUGCAUCAUUUCUAA